UAAUUAUGUUUGAAAUUUUUAUAUAAUUAUAGGUUAAAUUUUAAUUAUUUAAAAUGUAUAGUUAUAAUUUUAAAUUUUGUUAAUCGAAUUAGAUUAGUACCUAAUUAGUCAAAAGUUAAAAAAGCAGAAGUAAAGUAAAAUUUAAACUGAAAGAAUAUUGGCAGAUUUUCUAAAUUAUCUUUGGAGGUUGAGUAAUAAUUGAGAACCCUCAUUAACUACUUUUUUAGUUGUCUCAUGUAUGAUCGUUUAUUAUAUGCUUAAGGGAUAUAAUUAAAAAUUUUUAUUUAAAAAAAUAGAUAUAUAUUUGGUUUAUAUAAAAGUAAUAUUUGACCUACAGUAAUUUGUAAUUGUGGAUCUAUUUUUUAGUAAAGUAGUGAAAAUGUAAAAGACAGUAAAAAAAUUUUUAUGAUUUUUUGAAGAUUA
rnacentral:rRNA from 1 species